CCCAUGCGUCCUGAGCCUGUUUCAUUUGUAAAAGAGAGCAGGGAUGAGGAUCCUUGAAGUGUCCUGCUGUGUAAAGGCUACCGAGGCAGCCAGCCAGGCGAACCAUAGGAGUGAAAAGAGGCAGCACCCGGGAAGCUACCUUGAAAACAGGAAACGGACGGUCAGAUGUGUGGUGGGCCAUGAAAUGGAUCCUGCUGAGUCUCUGACAUACGCCUAUUCGCCCUGGUCACCACGUGAGACCCUGUCUUCGCGGCAACCCUGUCUUACCUGAAUCCUGGGGCCUCGAGCUGCAGGGAGGAAAUGGCCGAGUCAAGGGAACCCCAUACCCUGCCUCCCCCGAGAAAGCUUCCUAAGCAAGAUCCAGUAUCUCUCGACCCCACCUUCACCAGCUAGCAGACGCCAGCCCCUCUCUGGCAGCAUGAUACCUCUGUCCCGCGUGCUGCAAAGAAGACUUCUGUGUUUGCGUGCCCUCCCUGUGCGUGCCUGUGUCCCUGCUCUGCUGGAGCAGUAGGAGAUGUCACCCUUCCCAGAAGAAUCCUGGACGUGUCCGCAACUGGCUGUCAGCCCCCAGUACUUGGCCUACUGUCUCCUCGGCUUGGCGGCAGAGGAAGGAAGCAUGACUGCUAUUGUUCCUUGGCUCCUUUCUUUUUGCCCAAAAGUUUCCUCAUAGAGCAAAACUGCUGAGUGUCCUGGAUUUGUCAACAUUCCUUCAUGAAACAGAGGAAAAUCACAUUUGGGAACCAGUGGGACUUGUAAGCUCCGCUCUCCAAGUCUCUGUUGAAUACAGAUCCCCGUGCUAAGAAACAAACCGAGAAACAUUUACAUACAAAGUAAUAUUUGAAAUUGAAAUUGGUUCUCUUGUAAUACUUCCAUAUCCAGAACAGGAUAUUUUCUUUUUGAAUAGACUGAUGCAGGACUGCCAACUUUGCCUUCUCAGAAAGGACAAAAAUCUUCAUUAACACCAUGUAUAUAUGAUGUUAAAAUGUCCUUUUUUAAAGAAGAAGAUGGCAGUAAUUGACGGUAGUUGUUUUUAAAAUAUCCUCACUCAGCAAAAUAAAUGUUGGCAACCCUGUGUUUGUUCUAAUGCU
rnacentral:lncRNA from 1 species